UUGUGGGAAUGAAAGAACUGAAGAAGACCUAUCAUAAACCAGGAUCAUUCCAGAAGAACACCACACAGGUGCAUGUCUCUUCAGAGAAGAACACAUGAAGUAGGCAAGGUCACCACCGAAUGGCACUUAGGAACAUCAUGAAGCCAAGUGACCGGGAGCUGAAGAUUUCACAGUAACUUCUGACCAGCGUGUCUGAAUGUAACAGUGCUCUCCUUCCACCUACAAAGAAAAUACCAUGCCUGCAGAAGAUGGAGAGUGGGGUAGCAGAAGUACUGUCUGCCAUGCCUGGAGGGGGAUGAACUACUUUCAUACAGCCAGGAGGUAUGGGAGAACCUCCCACUCUACUCAGAAGACCAGCUCCAACUGAGAGAGGAUUGCCUGCUGCGCCUAUG